UGAAUCCACAUGCAUCUGCCUUCAAUCCUUCGUCUUUUGGAGCAUCGUCUUUUCACACUUUCUACAUCAUUAAACCUGUGGACAAAGAGUAAUGGUCUUCAGAGUCUUGAUGGAAGAAAAGUGUUGAACCUUGCUGCCGGUUCCUCUUCUGUGCAGUGUGAAGAGGGAAAGACAGUACACCCUGGCUGCACCAGUCUGUAUGCCAAACAUCACUGAAUGUGUGAAUGUUAGCUAGAAAGCACUUACACAGAGAAGGCUUAUAAAAAGUGCUUGUAUAAAGGGUGAAGGAGGCAAGUCGUGUAUAGUGCUUCGAGUGGUCAGACUAAAAGCGCUGUGUAAGAACCAUCUACGUCUAUCUGGCCGAGGCCUUUACAUGUGGAGUUCACUCCGGCUUCCUCCCACGGUCAAACAUCCAGGUAGUGAGGACAGGUUAACUGAUGUUCACACAAACAUCGGAGUAGUUUCUGUGGUUCCC
ensembl:lncRNA